GACGAACGCUGGCGGCGUGCUUAACACAUGCAAGUCGAACGGACAGGCCCUGCUUUUGUUGGGUUCUCGAGUGGCGAACGGGUGAGUAACACGUGAGUAACCCGCCCUUGUCUUUCGGAUAACUUCAGGAAACUGCGGCUAUUACCGGGUAGGAUCUCCUGCUGCACGGUGGGCGUUGGAAAGAUUCGGCGGUUGGGGCUGGACUCGCGGCUUAUCGGCUUGUUGGUGGGGUAGUGGCUGACCAGGGCUUUGACGGGUAGCCGGCCUGGGAGGGGUGCCGGCGACAUUGGGCCUAAGAUACGCAGCAGAAUGCUACGGGCGGCAAUAGUCGGGAAUAUUGCACAAUGGGGGGAAGCCUGAGGCGGCAACGCCGCGAGCGUGAUGCCGGCUUUCGGGUUGUAAACCGCUUUGGACUGUGCCGAAGCGUGAGUGACGGUAAUGGGUCAAAAAGCACCGGCUAACUACGUG
rnacentral:rRNA from 1 species